UACGUAGGGCGCAAGCGUUAUCCGGAAUUAUUGGGCGUAAAGAGCUCGUAGGCGGUUUGUCGCGUCUGCCGUGAAAGUCCGGGGCUCAACUCCGGAUCUGCGGUGGGUACGGGCAGACUAGAGUGAUGUAGGGGAGACUGGAAUUCCUGGUGUAGCGGUGAAAUGCGCAGAUAUCAGGAGGAACACCGAUGGCGAAGGCAGGUCUCUGGGGCAUUAACUGACGCUGAGGAGCGAAAAGCAUGGGGAGCGAACAGG
rnacentral:rRNA from 1 species